GCGAGAGGGGAUCGGAAGUAGAAGUUAAUUGGCAGAGAUUCAAACAAACCUUCGAUGAAGUGAGGCCAUGUCUUCUCCUCCGGCUCGUCCAACGAGUGGUCCCAUUCUUCAUCAGACCUCCGCAAGUCCCAGAAUAGACUUGUCACCACCUGCUGAUGGUGGCUGGCGACUGGCCCACUGCAAAGGGCUGCUCCGGGAUCUCUUGGCCUGGCACACGUGCCCCAAUUCUGAUAUCAGAUCCAAGCCACUAGACACACUUCCAGAGAAAGCAAAGGUCAGAUGAGCCUUCCUUACCACUAAUGUAUCUGGCCAUUACAAGAAGGAUACCCCUGGAUUGGUAUACUUGGUGGGUGACCCCUCCGCAAGGACAGCUGUGCCCACUGACAGCUUUGCAUGUUGGAUCAGAAACACUUCUAACCCGGGAACCUGCUAAAGUUCAAGAGUUGUAAACAGCUUCAUAUGGAGGUUGGGCAGCCACUGCAGUAAUUAUAGUUUUCUAAGCAGUCAGUUUUAAUAGAUUAAUGAUUAAUUAUUUGAAGUUCACUGGUGCAAUAAAAACUUGAGUAAAUGAGGAGAGAAAAGGCUAUGUGACUGAAAGAGCUCUAUGGAAAAUCUGCGUUUACAUACAUAUACAUGCACAACUCAAGUUGUUAAAACGAAAGUUGUAUGACACACUGUAGCACUUUUCUGGAGCUGAUAUUAUACCGGACAACACAAUUAUCAUAUUUGGACCAUAUUUGAUGUGCAUUCUGUAACAUCUUUUUGAAAUGUACACUACCUGAAAUAGCAAAACAGAUAUUGUCUUUUUUUUAACCAGUGAUAUAGCGCCGGAAAAACAUCAGGAAAACACUCCAAUGUUUUCUUGACUCUCAAUCUCUACAUGUGUGGCAGCCAUUCCAGUAUGCUAUGAAUUCCAACACAGAGAAAUGUUGUCAGUAGUUUAUAGAAUGCAAUAAAAAAUCAUGUAUCUCAGAGA